rnacentral:ncRNA from 1 species
ACAGUACAAACUGAGCAGGCGAUGAAUGUCAAGUUCAUGAGGCCGGGCCGAAUUUUGGCAACAGAUAAUACAACAUCUGUGGGACAGU